rnacentral:rRNA from 1 species
UCGAACGCGAAAGUCCCCUUCGGGGGGCAAGUAGAGUGGCGCACGGGUGAGUAACACGUAGGUAAUCUACCUUUGGAUUGGGAAUAACCACCGGAAACGGUGGCUAAUACCGAAUAAUGCAGCGGCACCUAAUGGUGACAGUUGUUAAAGCGGGGGAUCGCAAGACCUCGCGUCUGAAGAGGAGCCUGCGGCAGAUUAGCUAGUUGGUAAGGUAAUGGCUUACCAAGGCGAUGAUCUGUAGCCGGCCUGAGAGGGCGGUCGGCCACACUGACACUGACAUACGGGUCAGACUCCUACGGGAGGCAGCAGUCGGGAAUUUUGGGCAAUGGGCGAAAGCCUGACCCAGCAACGCCGCGUGAAGGAUGAAAUCCUUCGGGAUGUAAACUUCGCAAGAACGGGAAGAAUAAGUAAGGGUUAAUAUCUCUUACGAUGACGGUACUGUUUGUAAGCUCCGGCUAACUCCGUGCCAGCAGCCGCGGUAAUACGGGGGGAGCAAGCGUUGUUCGGAUUUACUGGGCGUAAAGGGCGCGUAGGCGGCCACUGCAAGUCGACUGUGAAAUCUCCGGGCUUAACCCGGAAAGGUCAGCCGAUACUGCAGGGCUAGAGUGCAGAAGGGGCAACUGGAAUUCUCGGUGUAGCGGUGAAAUGCGUAGAUAUCGAGAGGAACACCUGCGGCGAAGGCGGGUUGCUGGGCUGACACUGACGCUGAUGCGCGAAAGCUAGGGGAGCGAACGGGAUUAGAUACCCCGGUAGUCCUAGCCUUAAACGAUGAAUGCUUGGUGUCUGGGGUUUUAUAGUCCCCGGGUGCCGUCGCUAACGCUUUAAGCAUUCCGCCUG